CCGUCCGGCGAGCCAAUAGGCGGGCAGUCGGAGCCGGGCUUGCCCGGGCAUGUAGGAGCCGCCGUGACAGAGACAGUCAAGGCUCUAAUCUGCCUUCAGACAGCUCUGAGGUAGACUGUGUUUACCAAUGGACUUUGAAGGGUGUAAUAAUUCUCUAACUGUGCUAUAGAGCUCAGCACAGAGGGGUGAAUUUCUUUGCUCCCCAGCUAGACUGUUAAUGUCCUGGGUCAGGGCUACUGUGGGAUAUUUAAGUGACCUCCGUAGGUGCCUCUGGGGCUCCCCCGCUUGCUUGGCCAGUAGAGACCAAUUCAGGGGACACAAGAUUGGGGCAGGAGUGGCUAGUGGAAGGGCCACCGGAGUGGGGACCAGAAGAUGAAAUGGUACAAAGGAGAGGAGAGCAGCCCCUCCAGCAUGACCCACCUUAUGCUCUACACCCCAGUGGCUUCAGGGUGCUGGUGGGCCCUCUUCCUCGACUCCUUUUUCAGACCUUUGCCGCUAACAUGGCCACUGAUUCCUCUCCCUUCCACCUGGAAGGUUGCUAUUUUACAUGCACACAGAUUUAGCCUCUUCCAGGAAGCCUCCAGAAAACCUGUUUUGCCUCCCUAGCUCCUCUAAUCUAGCUCUUAACACACCUUCUAUUUGGUGUCGGUCUCUGCCGUGAGAUGAAACUUCUCGGAGUUUAGGAUCCAUCUUUGCAGCUGCCCAGCACCUGGCACAGUGGAGACCCCGGAGAGCCUCAGUGUGGCAUUGGUCUGUGCAACCCAGUGAGAUAAAGGUUCUUCCAGAAGGGCUUCUGGGUGGUGGCAAAACAGUAGCUGAGUCUGAAAGGGCAGGAGGGCUGUGAGUGGCAAGGGAGCAGCAGAAGACCUGUGGGCUAGGAAAGGUCAGUGUGUCCGGGCGGGGGCUGCUGUGGCCUGAGAAGAGCUGGCUGCCAACCACUGGGUAGAGUCAGGAGCAGUUGGUUAUUGAGCCCCUGCGUACUGUUUAGAAUACAGGAAGAUAAUUGUGUCAUUUCCUCUUCACACAGGAGAGGGGGUGGUAGGAUCAUUUUACGUGCCUGAAAACUGAAACUCAGCAGUUUAGGUAACUUA